GUGGGGAAUAUUGGACAAUGGGCGAAAGCCUGAUCCAGCCAUGCCGCGUGUGUGAAGAAGGUCUUCGGAUUGUAAAGCACUUUAAGUUGGGAGGAAGGGCAGUAAGUUAAUACCUUGCUGUUUUGACGUUACCGACAGAAUAAGCACCGGCUAACUUCGUGUCAGUAGCCGCGGUAAUACGAAGGGUGCAAGCGUUAAUCGGAAUUACUGGGCGUAAAGCGCGCGUAGGUGGUUUUGUAAGUUGGAGGUGAAAUCCCCGGGCUCAACCUGGGAACUGCCUCCAAAACUACUGAGCUAGAGUACGGUAGAGGGUAGUGGAAUUUCCUGUGUAGCGGUGAAAUGCGUAGAUAUAGGAAGGAACACCAGUGGCGAAGGCGACUACCUGGACUGAUACUGACACUGAGGUGCGAAAGCGUGGGGAGCAAACAGGAUUAGAUACCCUAGUAGUCC
rnacentral:rRNA from 1 species